NNNNUCAACUGAAAAAGUCAUCAACAACAAAGUUGAAUAACUCAUCAAGAUCUAAAACUUUUAUUUUGGUCAUUUCUUCAUACGACAAAGUGAUAGUAACAUUGUUCACAAAAUUGACAUAUCUCUUAUCUGGUUUUAUAAACUAUAACACAUAUAUGUAAAAUUUGUGAAUAAUAUUACUAACAUUUCGUCGGAUGAAGAAAUAACAAAAAUAAAAGUUUUAGAUCUUGAUGAGUUAUUCAACUUUGUUGUUGAUGACUUUUUCAAUUGAAAUC
rnacentral:pre_miRNA from 1 species